rnacentral:ncRNA from 1 species
UAUUUUCAGGGCGGGGUGUAAUUCCCCACCGGCAGUAAAGUCUGCGACCCGCUUUUGCGGCUGAAUCGGUGAAAUUCCGAUACCGACGGUUAAAGUCCGGAUGAGAGAAAAUG